rnacentral:lncRNA from 1 species
UCACCAUCUUGGUUCCGACGGCAACGCGGUGCAGGCUCGAGUCGGAGCGCCCCUCGCUCGGCGGCGGCGCGCCGUGGAUUAAGCAGCGUGGACAGGCCGGCCUCCAGCGUCGCCGCGCUCGCGCCCGCGUGCAGGGCGGAGAGCGCUGAGCCGCAGGCGGGGCGGCGCGGGACAGCGAGGCCGCGACCCUGCCGGGCCCCGCCCAGCCCGCCGGGCCCGCCCCCGGCCGCUCUGUCGCCUGCCGGGCCGCGCAGAUGGGAUAGGCGGCGAAGAUGUUCAGCUUCGAAGGCGACUUCAAGACAAGGCCCAAGGUGUCUCUCGGUGGCGCGAGCAGGAAGGAAGAAAAGGCUUCUCUUUUACAUCGCACUCAGGAAGAAAGACGCAAGAGAGAGGAAGAAAGGCGAAGAUUGAAAAAUGCAGUGAUAAUCCAGUCAUUUAUUCGAGGAUAUAGAGACAGGAAACAACAAUACUUCACCCAAAGAAGCGCAUUUGACCAGUGUGCAGACUCUGCGCAGCCCGGUGGCACCUUCCGCAUUGCUGAUGGUCCCGCCCUUACCCUCUUGGUAAGGCAGCUUCUCUUCUUUUACAAACAGAGUGAAGACUCCAAACGUUUGAUAUGGCUUUAUCAGAACUUAAUUAAACACAGCUCUCUGUUUGUCAAGCAAUUGGAUGGAUCAGAAAGACUGACAUGCUUAUUUCUUCUCAUCCAAGUCCAGCAUCGUGCCUAGAGGCUCGGUAACCAGAAUUAGCAAUAUGCUUUUAAAUGUGGGAAAACUGAAUGACACUUUUAAGACAAUGACAAUUAUCAGACAAAAUGUAUAAUUUCUUAAUUUGAAUAAUAAAGUAUUUAAAUGCUAUUUGUAGUCCUGACACAUAGGAAGAAAUAGCAUUUAUCCUUGA